rnacentral:snoRNA from 1 species
UGGGCAUAGCCAAUUAACCAGGUGACUGCCAUUGGAUGCAGUUACUCGGCAACGCUGUGCCCAAACUAAACCCCAACCAUUGUAAAACAGCGGCGUUAGAUCCCUCAAUGGUCACGUCUCUACCUGUACCCUGGUACAAA